rnacentral:lncRNA from 1 species
GGGGAGGGUGGGAACAAGAUGGAAGUUGGUAUACUUAAACAUUAUUUUAAUUCAUUUGUCAUCAUCCAGAAAAUGUGGUGUUUGGGCAAUUUUGAAAGUGUUCUAAUAGCUCUCUUUAUUCCUUUUCAUAGAAAUUAACAAUUAAUCAUGAAAGCUGUAUUGUAGGAGCCCGCAAUGAAGCCUGCUUCCUUUAUACCUGUGUUGGUUUGAUGGGGCAGCUUUAAGUUGGAAGCUCUAAAUAAAGCUGCCAUACUUAGCUAUUGUAUACCUCUUCACAUCUAGUAAGUUUCCGAAGCAUUCUCCUCCCCCUCCUCCUUCUCCUCCGUGCCCUCUUUCAUUCUCCCUGGCUCUGUGUGUGUGUGUGUGUGUGUGUGUGUGUGUGUGUGUGUCAGUCUCACACCUAGCCAGAGUCAAAGGAUUCUUAAUAAGAAGCAAUCGAAAGCAAUCCUCUCUGCUGGCCUUACAUAAGAACCACACAGCAGCCGGUCUCCUGAGCCAUCCCUGUCACAUUCUCCUGUCUGCUGAAGACAGGAACAUCACCGAGAGUUGCUGGGAGAAGAAUGACUCACAGGUGAUACCCGCCACACACGUUAUCCUCAAGGUUGGAAAUAACCACCAAUAAAGGAGCCAGUCAAGAGAGUCCAAGGUAAACUAGAAAGCAAGUGGCCAGUAAAUCCGAAGACCAGAAGCUUCCAAGGUGGGGGAGGCUCAUGAUCCAGAGCCCCAAACGAUUACCUGACUUGCAAGCAAGCAACCAUUGAGACCCAGGAUGAAGUCAGGAAUGGACAUGCCACAACGACAGCCCAUAGGAAUGGACAAUCCACGACAGCCCAUAGGGUUGGACAUGCCACAACGACAGCCCAUAGGAAUGGACAUGCCACGACAGCCCAUAGGAAUGGACAUGCCACGACGGCGGCCCAUAGGAAUGGACAUGCCACGACGAAACCCCUUCACCUUGCUGAUCUCUAACUCAAAGCCACUCUGCUCCAGGUGAAGCCUCUGCCUUCACCUCUGGAUAAGGAUUCCAUACUUGCAUCUUUAAGCUAGUUCGUGGGCAUCUCUACGGAAGCCAUCCGCAGGCAUCUUACAGACACAAGAUCAGAAGGGGAAUAAGACAGUGCUGGCUCCCUAGGAUGGUCAAAAGAACUGACAUAAGAUAAUCAGGGAGUGCGUGGUACAUGAUGCAGCUCCCACGGUCUGCCUGCUGCUGCGGAACCCCAUCCCCCUUCACUAGCCCUCCAUCAACAUCACAUCCAUGGAGUCUGUCAAACUGAAUGGGUAACACAGGAACAACAGAUUUGCUUUGCAAUGGAAGUCGCUGGAACCUGAAACAAGAUGUGUUGCUGGCGAUGUAGCUCAAGUAGUUGAAUAUUUGCCUGGAAAACAUAACACAUUGUUCAUAGGCUUCAUUGUUCAACUUUCAGGUUCAAACUUAGUAGUCAAGAAAUGAUCAUUUAAAAAAAAUCUGAUUCAUUUUAGGUAAAAGGAAAAAUUAUCUUGAUUUUGCCCAAUACCUUGAGGAACAUUCUAUCUGAUCAUGAGAUAUCCCUAGGCUCAACUAUAAAACAUUUCUCAUGGCUUUGAGACAGGUGCUUGGGUAAAGCAAGCUGUAUAAACAGCAGCAGUAAAAACAAGCAAAACAGCAAAAUAAAGAACAACAAAGAUAAGAACAACCUGUACAUACCCUGCCCACAGAGAAGACAGUACAACAAGUGAUUGUAGCUGAACUUAGCCACUUUACGGCCAGUGCAAGCAAGCUCUGCCUCCUAGGCUAGGUGACCUUGCUCUAGUUCUGUAUACCUUGGCUUCCUCCGCAUAAAAGGAGAUUAAUGAUAGAAACAACAAUGUACUAAAGAUGAAGUUAGUAAAGGCUGAAGCAGUGACUCAGUUGGCAAAGUCCUUGUCACAUAAGCACAAGGAACUGAGUUUGAUCCCCAGAAUCCAGUUCUAGCACUGGGGUUAGACAUAGGUGGAUGACCUGGGUUUGUAGACCGCCCAGCCUAGCCUUAUCAGAGAGCCAUAGGCCAAAGAGACCCUGUUUCCAAGAAGAGUGAUAUCCAAGGCUGGCCUCUGUCCUGAACACCAGCAUAUGCCCACCUGUGUGUGCACAAGUACAACACACACACACACACACACAAGAUAAAGUUAAUGAAGCUAAAUGUGUGGCUCUUGCCAGUGAUCUAAGCAUCUGGGAGACUUAGACAAGACGAUUGCUACAUGUAUAAAGCCACCUUGGGCUAUAUAGUAAAUUCUGGAACUGCCUGAGCUACUGAUACCACAUCUCAAAUAUAAAAUUAAUAAAUACAUAGUAAUAGUAUUAGCUAUUACUUUAUAUAAGUCAAUUGAAAUAUUUGUACAACGUGAAAAUGAUAUUUGAGAUUGUGGCAUCAGUGAUAAUGAGGACAAAUGGACUUUAAUAAAGGCUACUUCUUCAAAUCUGCUUCAAAUCGAAUUUGUACUUGACAAAGAUUUAAGGGGUUCUUUUGACAUAUUUUCUCAAAUUUAGAAUUCUGCUGUAAAAGACGAAUGUUCUUUAUAAUAUACAUACAUGUAGAUUUGUUUUCUCAGAAUCUUGGGGUCUUUCUAAAUAUUCUCUAAGUUCACCAUAUUGGAGUAAAAUGGUGCAUUGGAUUGAUAAGC